rnacentral:misc_RNA from 1 species
GAUGAAGAACGUAGCGAAAUGCGAUACUUGGUGUGAAUUGCAGAAUCCCGUGAACCAUCGAGUCUUUGAACGCAAGUUGCGCCCGAAGCCACUAGGCCGAGGGCACGCCUGCCUGGGCGUCACACGCCGUUGCCCCCCCAUCUACUCCUUCGGGAUUGCGGGGGGCGGAUGAUGGCCUCCCGUGCGCCUAGCCGCGCGGUUGGCAUAAAUACCAAGUCCUCGGCGACGCACGCCACGACAAUCGGUGGUUGCGAAACCUCGGUUGCUCGUCGUGUGCGUUCGUCGCGCAUCGAGGGCUCGAAAAAAUGCUCGGCUCCGGCUGGGCUUUCAACGCGACCCCAGGUCAGGCGGGGUUACCCGCUGAAUUUAAGCAUAUCAAUAAGCGGAGGA